rnacentral:pre_miRNA from 1 species
AUUGAAGUGGCUGGGUUAUAUGAUAAGUGUAUGUUUAAUUUAGAAGAAAGUGCCAAAUCUUUUCUAAAAUGUCUGCAUAAUUUUCAUUCCCACCAGUAAU